rnacentral:tRNA from 1 species
UCCUUGGUGGCCUAAAGGUAAGGACUCAGCAUUGUCACUGCUGUGGCUUGGGUUCAAUCCCUGAGCCAGGAA